CAGUAGCCACGGUAAUACGUAGGUGGCAAGCGUUGUCCGGAAUUAUUGGGCGUAAAGCGCGCGCAGGUGGUUUAAUAAGUCUGAUGCGAAAGCCCACGGCUCAACCGUGGAGGGUCAUUGGAAACUGUUAAACUUGAGUGCAGGAAAGAAAAGUGGAAUUCCUAGUGUAGCGGUGAAAUGCGUAGAGAUUAGGAGGAACACCAGUGGCGAAGGCGGCUUUUUGGCCUGUAACUGACACUGAGGCGCGAAAGCGUGGGGAGCAAACAGGAUUAGAUACCCCGGUAGUCCCUGUCUCUUAUAA
rnacentral:rRNA from 1 species